CAGCAGCCGCGGUAAUACAGAGGAUGCAAGCGUUAUCCGGAAUGAUUGGGCGUAAAGCGUCUGUAGGUGGCUUUUCAAGUCCACCGUCAAAUCCCAGGGCUCAACCCUGGACAGGCGGUGGAAACUACCAAGCUGGAGUACGGUAGGGGCAGAGGGAAUCUCCGGUGGAGCGGUGAAAUGCGUUGAGAUCGGAAAGAACACCAACGGCGAAAGCACUCCGCUGGGCCGAUACUGACACUGAGAGACGAAAGCUAGGGGAGCAAAUGGGAUUAGAUACCCCCGUAGUCCCUGUCUCUUAUAC
rnacentral:rRNA from 1 species